rnacentral:lncRNA from 12 species
AGUGCCUAAAAAUAAAGCAGCUCUAAGAAUCCCAUAGUUCUGAUGAGAUUUUUUUUUUCUUUCUUUUUGCAACUGGUAUUUGGCUGCAAUCACUCCUCAGACAUGCUGUAGCUCCUCCUGUGGCUUCCUCAAGAGUGGAAUUGGUGUGCCUCACGGCUUCAGCAGUGUCAUGGAAAAAGUGAUGACCUUACAUUCAUAAGUCUCCAGGUCCUAGUCCUGCUACCUACUAUGUGUUUGACCUUGGGUAAGUCAUAGCCUCCUUGUGCUUGAUCUUUCUCAUCUGUAAAAUUUUA